UCUUGAGGAGCACCCUGGAGUGGUUUUGGUGGUGGGAAUGGGGUGUUGCAAUGUGGAAGCCCCGGGGUUUCUGUAGGAUCACCCCACAUCUCCCAGGACAGGCUGUUGUCCCCUCACAGGGAGUUUUCUCUGGGCAGGAAGUCAGGGUGACUGGCAGAGC